AUUCGGUUGACGAGUCGUAAAUAGGACGCAAUGCGCAUUCUGAAU
rnacentral:hammerhead_ribozyme from 1 species